CCUACGGGCGGCUGCGGUGGGGAAUAUUGGACAAUGGGCGAAAGCCUGAUCCAGCCAUGCCGCGUGUGUGAAGAAGGCCUUCGGGUUGUAAAGCACUUUCAGUGGGGAAGAAAGCCUUGGGGCUAAUACCCUCGAGGAAGGACAUCACCCACAGAAGAAGCACCGGCUAACUCCGUGCCAGCAGCCGCGGUAAUACGGAGGGUGCGAGCGUUAAUCGGAAUUACUGGGCGUAAAGCGCGCGUAGGCGGUCUGAUAAGCCGGUUGUGAAAGCCCCGGGCUCAACCUGGGAACGGCAUCCGGAACUGUCAGGCUAGAGUGCAGGAGAGGAAGGUAGAAUUCCCGGUGUAGCGGUGAAAUGCGUAGAGAUCGGGAGGAAUACCAGUGGCGAAGGCGGCCUUCUGGACUGACACUGACGCUGAGGUGCGAAAGCGUGGGUAGCAAACAGGAUUAGAUACCCGUGUAGUC
rnacentral:rRNA from 1 species